rnacentral:lncRNA from 10 species
CGGAGAAUAAAAUCAGAACAAAGGAAUUUGUGUGUAUGGUUCAAGUAUUUUAUGGCUUUGGGCUCUUAAGGGCUGAAUCAUCUGUCAGUGCAACUAGGAACAGAUAAAUCACAUCUGUGGGUCAGCCCUGGAGACAAAUUGCAGGUGCUUGCUUCCUGCACUUUCCUUUUAUACAGCUACUGUUGUCCAGCUAUUCUGACCCCUCUUGGAUGCUGUUGAACCAAUUAAACACUUACAAUGGAGACGAAAGAUUACUCUUUUCUUUUUACAAAUGUUGUAUGCCAGAGGCAAGUUGGAAGGUUGAAUGCCCUUAGUUGCUAGUGGUGAUAGGGCAGGCUUUGCCACCAAUUGGCUAGCAGUCUAAGAUAGGGAGUGGUAGAAAUGAAUAAAACAAUUACACUGGAUUUGUGCUGUACUCUCAGAAUAUAGGAAAGUGUCACUCGAGCAGUUUCUCUAGAAAUCAUGAAGAAGGCAGUGUAAUUAACAUUCAGAUUCAACUAUCUGCUAAUAUCUUCACAGUGUCUCAGGGGACAAACAUUUCUUGGACUCCUAUAGAAGGAUACUGCUAGAAUUAACAUUAGCACUUGUAUUUCAUUGUUACGAGGUUGGCUGGAUCUUUACUCUUCUCUGCCUCCUUUCCUCCACCUGGGAAGGGGAGAAAUUAGGGAUAACAGGAUUCCUCAUUGUCAGUUAACACCAGAGAGCUUCACGAUAACCCUGAGCAUGGAAGGGACAAACAGUCCCUGAGCUCCAUAAGUCCAGAGUUAUUAUUUCACAAGAAUGAGGACCAAAGUUCUGUUCAGAUGGGAAUAGGAUCUGCUCACAUAGGCUACUGGGGUAUUACCAGAAGAAAACAAGUCCUCUUACUGGUGAAUAGUGUCAGAUUUUAAAAUAUUAAGGAGGAAGCUAACGGUAACCUGAAAUGGAAGUCUGUCUUUUCUGUCCCUCUACCUUCACUCCGUUCUCAUUCAGCCGCAUCCUCUCCCCUCAUCCAUGGAAACCAGAACUCAUGCUCCCAACCUCACCUUCUACUCUGCAAGAUCAGCAUGGAUUGGCCAGAAGAAAGAGAGAGCUGGGGAGAGGGAGGCAUCCACCAUGAGGCCCCAGGUCCCCGCAGGCUGUAAGGACUGCAAGGUGAUUAGAGGAUGGGGGGACCAGAAGGACAAGGCAUGGAUAACUCUCUUCUUCAUCACAUCCUUGCUUAUCACUGCUUGUUCUACUUGGGAUCUUUUUUGGUUUUCUUUUUUUAGGGACAGGGUCUCACUCAAUCACCAGGCUGGAGUGCAGUGGUGUAAUCAUAGCUCACUGCAGCUUUGAACUUUUGAGCUCAAGUGAUCCUCCCCACACAGCCUCCUGAGUAGCCUGGGACUACAGGCACACACUACCACAGCAGGCUAAUGGUUUUGUUUUUAUUUUUAUAGAGACCGAGUCUCUUAUUCUCCUCAGGCUGAUUUCAAACUCCUGGUCUCAAGCAAUCCUCCCGCCUCAGCCUCUGGAAGUGCUGGGAUUUCAGGUGUGAGCCACUACACCCAGCCUUUAGUUGGGACCUUUAAGGCAACUAACUGAAAGUUUUAGAAAAGAACUACAUAGCUUCUUUGAUGUCCAAUAUGGGUUUGUUUUAGGAAAAUGGGGCACGGGCAUCGAAUGAGCAUCAGCAGCUCCCUUCCUGUGUCUCGGUAGAAACAGGAUCCAGGAAGCCAGGAUUGUCUGUCCAGAAAAUAGCUCUGUUCCAACAGUUUCUACUUCCCAAAUGGCUCCCUAGAGUCACAUGGUGUGGGAGAGAAGAGGAAAGAUGGCUAAGUAGUUUGCUGCAUGUCUACCUGUCUGGUCCCAUAAUGAAUUGAACCUUCCUUAAGGAAAAGCUCAUUUCUUGUUUGUCCUUCCUGUCUCCCCUCAGGUGGUAACCAGAUUCAAUAUCUUGCCCAGUGAGACUUUGCAAUAAAUGAUUAUUAAUAUUUAUGCCAAAAUCAAAAAAUAACAUUUAUUGAGCACAGUCUCCCAGAUUGGCUUUAUGCUAAUGGUGGUAGAAGAUACAGGACAAAGUAUUAUA